rnacentral:lncRNA from 1 species
GGACAUUUCCUGAUUGUAUAAAAAUAACACUGAUGAGCCGACACUGUGAGCUCCUGAAUUCUCUUCAUUCUUCUCAUGGUUCAGGGGUUGCUCAGACAGUCUAGAACAAACAGGAACCUAUCUGGGACCUGGACAUCACUGCCCAGGAUUGUGCAAAUCUGUUCUAGGAGCCAAAAUAAAAAAGGGUUAAAGGUGACAGAAAUUCACUCUUGUCCUCCUACUCAGAAGUAGGCACAUUCUUUACUGAAUUUACUUUACUUUUAUGAAGAGGGAAAUGCUUGAGGCAUACCCACUUACUUUAGACUGCAGAGUGGACUGAGGUUUUGGCAUGUCCAUUUAAUAUCUUAACAGAGAGAGUGACUGCACAAACAUCAAGUGCAAUUUUCCCCUGAAACAGUUUCUACAUAGAUUAGGUGAACAAAGUACAACGUAUGCAGAGCCAUGUGAUACAAUAAUAUCAGAACCAAAAUAUGCACUGCUACCAGAGAUAGUAAGACUUUCCGAGUGAUUUGGGAGGCUUGCUUUCUCAUGCAUUGUGUGAUAUCACACCUUUAGGAGCCAAGUUACUUUAACUUGACCAACCAUUACCAGAAGAACCCAGCUUCCCUCACUGACCAUGUGCUCUGCAAGUAUGGUUUUGCAGUUUUCCUUCUCUCAGGCUUUGGUUGACACAAUCAGAGCACUGUGCCUAGAAGCUCUAGAUGACACAGAAUGCAGAAUAAUAACAGAGUUUGGAGUGAAUCCAAGAAGGAAUCAUUUUGACCAAUCUCUGCCUACAGUGGAACUGGUAUUGAUGUUAAUGGUUGGCACAGAGGAACCAAGGAGAUCUUUGAUUAUAAUUUGUAGGACAGAUGGCUCAGAACAGCAGAACUGAGCACACAGCAUCACGUGAAUCUGGGGAAAGAAAUACACCAGGACUGAGAGAAACCUGUAUUGGCAUUUCUGUGUUUGGUGGAAAAUGGCUGCUGGGGAGCACAUCUGGCUGGUGCCAAAUCUGCUUCUGAAACAGCUGAACACUGGCUUUUAUUCAGGAUUGAAUGAGAAGAACAAGUCCAUUCCUUGCACAGUCUGGGCAUCCCCCAGGUAGCAAAUGAAGUUUGAUAAAUUUUCCUACUUACUGAGUACUUACUUACUGAGUACUUACUUACUGUCUCCUAAAAACCAACCAGUGCAGAUAAAUGCUGCUUAAAGGC